rnacentral:tRNA from 1 species
GCCUGAGUGGCUCAGUUAAUAAGCAUCUGACUUCGGCUCAGAUCAUGAUCCCAUGGUUUGUGGGUUCGAGCCCCACGUCGGGUU